GGGGGAAGGAGGCGACUGGUUUCUCCCUUUUCAAUAGAAAUCAAUUCGUUUAGGUUUUUGAUUCCCUUUUGUUUAUUAAAGAUCACUAAAUCUCAUCUUCUCGAUGGAGGCAAAGCAGAAGGUCAUGUCCAAAUAGUGAUGAUUCAAGUAAGGAUAGUACACAAGUUAAUGACCAAGGUGAUAAUGUUGAAGAUCCUGAGUGGUACAAAAAUUCCGAGAUGAUAAUCCAGAUGUAGAUGAUGGUGAUAAUGAAACUUGUGAGCUGUUUGAUGAUGGAGAUGAAGUUGAACCAGUGGAUCCUUCACAAAUGGUUGUAGGUACAACAUUCGCUGAUAAGUUAUCAUACAAAAAUCAUCUUAAGCAUUUUUGUGUAUUGAAUGAAUGUGAGUAUAAGGUUGAAAAGAGUGACAAAAAAAGACUUAGGGUUUGGUGUGCUAAUACGUUUAACCAUAAAGGAACUGUUAUGUGUAAAUGGUAUGUUUUUGCUUCUAAACUACUAAAUCAAUCUACAUUUAAGGUUAGGGGGAUGAAGUUGAAGCAUAAGUGCAAGGGAAGUAAGGAUAGUCGAAAUAGAACUGAAGACCCUUCAUUUGUAGCUGAUGUUGUAAUGGAUAAGACGAAGAAUAGCUCAAUGAAAGUAAUACCAAAACCUAGACAAAUUUGUAAUGAUUUCGAGGCUUCUCACCUCAUUAAAAUUCCUUACCAAACUUCAUGGAAGGCUAGGAAUUUAGUAUUAGAGAAACUACAUGGGAGUUAUGAAGACAGUUUCAAAGAUGUUCCACAGUAUUGUAAGAUGGUGACUGAUACCAACCCUGGUUCAGUUGCAAACUUCUCAUAUUUCCAUACUGACAUGAGGUUUGAGUCUAUGACCAUCAGUUUUGUUGAAGCUAUAAAAGGAUGGCAUGAAGGGUGUAGAUCAGUUGUUGGGCUAGAUGUUUGCCAUCUGAAUGGUAAAUGUGGUGGUGUGUUGAUGGAUGUAACAGGAUUAGAUGGUCAAAAUGGAUUGGUAACAUUAGGAAUGGGGGUUUUUAUCUCUGAGACAAUUGAGAAUUGGAAAAUGUUUCUCACUGACUUGAGAGAUAAACUUAAUGCACAUCCAAUGCCUCUGACCUUUAUUUCAGACAGGUAGAAAGGAAUACUUGAAGGUGUCCAAGCUGUGUUCCCAGAAGCACAUCAUAUAUAUUGUUGGAGAAAUACUACAAUGGACAAAAACUAUAUUCCUCACUAUGGAAUGCAGCAAAAUGUUACAAAAUGAAGCAUUUCCUGGUGGUGAUGUUGGUCAGAAUCAUAAUUAAGGCAAAGAGGCCAAGAACUCAAGUAGAUGGUGCUACCUUCACCAGUAGUCAAACACCUGCACCCAUUUCUGCAAAAGGUAAAGCUAAGAAAAACAAGACAAGUUGGAAGGGGGAAUCAUCUAGCAUCUGCAAAAGUUGCAGCUCCAUCUACUACAAAGAACUGGAAAUGACUCAGGCAUUCUCAAGUGUUGGAUUUCCAACAAACAUUGAAGCAGACUUUUACAAAGAUAAAUAAGUACACCAAGACAAAGUAAUGAUAAUCUGCAACAGUUUACUUAUGUCUUUUUGAAUUUCAGUUCCUUUUGAAUGGUUUUUGGAUGAAAACUCUUAGUAUUGCAGUUUCAUCAGGCUUUUUUAUGAACAAUUGUGUUAUUUUGGAACAUUUAUAAAUGAAGUACUUUUUAUUUCUUUCAAAA